rnacentral:lncRNA from 1 species
AAAACAGUAAAUAUUCAUUAAGACAGAAUGAAGAACUGUAAAACAGAAGAGACGUAUCUAGAAGGGUGAAGCCUAUGCUCCAGUCCUCACUUCAGUAUUUCAACAUUUCAUGCCAAGUGAAAUAGACUCUGGCAGAAAUGGAAAGAGAUACCCUAUAAAUACCCCAGAAGACCUGGAGAAAACUGUGAAAAAGUAAUACAAGCAUGACAAGGACUGAAGUCAUGAGGCAAAGGAAGAAAACUUGAAUAGAUCUACCUUAAAAGCUGUUACAGGUGCUAAUGGAAGGGAACAGCAUGAGUGGAAGCUUUGCUGCAGGAAGCUGACUGAGUGCCAUUGGGGAUACAGGAGGAAGCCUGGGAGAGAAAAGCUCUGUCUAUUAUUUCUUCGUAAAAGCCAUUGAAACAAAAUGAAACACUAAUAAAUAUGUACAGUGAACAACUACCCAAUAGAUAUUCUGCAGUUUAUAUUUCCCUUCCUUCAACCACAGCACUUAAAUCUGGACACUGUCUCAGAUCAGGAGAGCAGAGAGAUCAAUUUCACUCAUCAGCUGUGUUUCUACUUAUGUUCCUGUUCUCUGUCAUCUUUCAAAAUCAUGGCAUGAAGAUUUCAUGAAGACACAAAUGACAGACUUAUAUGUGCAAAUCUACUUUCAGUUAUGUAAGAGAUUUUUGACAGUGAUGGUGUCAGAUAACUUUUGAAGAGUAAUUUGUUCUAAAGACUUUGCUAAUGUGGAAAAAUUUUAUUAAUACACCCUAUGGGAGUAGGUGACUAUUGCCUGGGCUGUGGGAAAGACUGAUUUUUUGGAUGAUGCUCUUCAGAACAACUGUACUGAAUGUUCUGGUGUCUCUAGCUAGUAUGCUCAUCCAGAAUAACAAUUCAAAGAUGUGUAAAAUCUCUCCUUUUUUUUUUUUUUUUUCUCUGCUCAUAAGCAAGCUGGUUUACCUCCCCCAGUUUUUCCACAGAUAGUUUUAGAAAGAAUAUCAAUGUUUUCCAAUAUUUUUUUUAGUAAAAAGAGAUGUUAAUGACUUCAGGACUAUGUAAGCAGAUUCAAAGCUCAGGGGAAAAGAAAAAAAAGACACAUAGGAUAGGAAAACCUGGGCAUAGUAUUUUGGUCAAAAAUUAAAACCCUCAUCAAAAUCAAACAUUCAACUCAGUAUUAUCAGCAGUGGCAAAUACCAUAAAUUCCCAAAUCGUUACUUAUGUUCAGCCAUAACCAAUCAAUUAAUAUUUCUUAGAACCAGAAGUAAGAUAGCCCAGUAGGUAAUUUUUUUCUUACUUUUAAUCACAACUGGAGAGGUGAAUUUAGAAAAAUUUAGAAUAAGGUGAAUUUAAAAAAAAAAAAAAGAAGAAAGAAAAAAAAUGUCUCCAUUGUAUAGUGUUUCAAUUAAGUAAUUAAGCAAUGAGGUGAUGAUUCAGUAACACUAGCAAGACUUCACACAUGAAGGUGUGAAGGAUAAAAAGAGGUUAUAAAUACAUUUAUUCCAUAGUUCCUUAGCUCUGGUUUAUUCUCAACUACCCAUUUCAACAACAGAGAUUCAUUAAAGCGCUUCAUCAAGCCAACUGCACAUUCUUGUUGUUGAGGAAAAUGCUCAUAGGUCUAGCAUUCAAACCA